UUAAAUUGAAGAGUUUGAUCAUGGCUCAGAUUGAACGCUGGCGGCAGGCCUAACACAUGCAAGUCGAACGGUAACAGGAAGAAGCUUGCUUCUUUGCUGACGAGUGGCGGACGGGUGAGUAAUGUCUGGGAAACUGCCUGAUGGAGGGGGAUAACUACUGGAAACGGUAGCUAAUACCGCAUAACGUCGCAAGACCAAAGAGGGGGACCUUCGGGCCUCUUGCCAUCGGAUGUGCCCAGAUGGGAUUAGCUUGUUGGUGGGGUAACGGCUCACCAAGGCGACGAUCCCUAGCUGGUCUGAGAGGAUGACCAGCCACACUGGAACUGAGACACGGUCCAGACUCCUACGGGAGGCAGCAGUGGGGAAUAUUGCACAAUGGGCGCAAGCCUGAUGCAGCCAUGCCGCGUGUAUGAAGAAGGCCUUCGGGUUGUAAAGUACUUUCAGCGGGGAGGAAGGGAGUAAAGUUAAUACCUUUGCUCAUUGACGUUACCCGCAGAAGAAGCACCGGCUAACUCCGUGCCAGCAGCCGCGGUAAUACGGAGGGUGCAAGCGUUAAUCGGAAUUACUGGGCGUAAAGCGCACGCAGGCGGUUUGUUAAGUCAGAUGUGAAAUCCCCGGGCUCAACCUGGGAACUGCAUCUGAUACUGGCAAGCUUGAGUCUCGUAGAGGGGGGUAGAAUUCCAGGUGUAGCGGUGAAAUGCGUAGAGAUCUGGAGGAAUACCGGUGGCGAAGGCGGCCCCCUGGACGAAGACUGACGCUCAGGUGCGAAAGCGUGGGGAGCAAACAGGAUUAGAUACCCUGGUAGUCCACGCCGUAAACGAUGUCGACUUGGAGGUUGUGCCCUUGAGGCGUGGCUUCCGGAGCUAACGCGUUAAGUCGACCGCCUGGGGAGUACGGCCGCAAGGUUAAAACUCAAAUGAAUUGACGGGGGCCCGCACAAGCGGUGGAGCAUGUGGUUUAAUUCGAUGCAACGCGAAGAACCUUACCUGGUCUUGACAUCCACAGAACUUUCCAGAGAUGAGAUUGUGCCUUCGGGAACUGUGAGACAGGUGCUGCAUGGCUGUCGUCAGCUCGUGUUGUGAAAUGUUGGGUUAAGUCCCGCAACGAGCGCAACCCUUAUCCUUUGUUGCCAGCGGUCCGGCCGGGAACUCAAAGGAGACUGCCAGUGAUAAACUGGAGGAAGGUGGGGAUGACGUCAAGUCAUCAUGGCCCUUACGACCAGGGCUACACACGUGCUACAAUGGCGCAUACAAAGAGAAGCGACCUCGCGAGAGCAAGCGGACCUCAUAAAGUGCGUCGUAGUCCGGAUUGGAGUCUGCAACUCGACUCCAUGAAGUCGGAAUCGCUAGUAAUCGUGGAUCAGAAUGCCACGGUGAAUACGUUCCCGGGCCUUGUACACACCGCCCGUCACACCAUGGGAGUGGGUUGCAAAAGAAGUAGGUAGCUUAACCUUCGGGAGGGCGCUUACCACUUUGUGAUUCAUGACUGGGGUGAAGUCGUAACAAGGUAACCGUAGGGGAACCUGCGGUUGGAUCACCUCCUUACCUUAAAGAAGC
rnacentral:rRNA from 1 species